CCAGGACCUCCUUGCAGGGCAGCUGUGUCCUGGAUCCUGCUUUGCUUCUGGGUGAAGGAGAAGCAGCUGUAAUAGAUUCUCCUGAGGAUCACAAAUCCUAUUGAGGCCAGUUCCAUGCCGCUAGGCCAAGCAGAAAGCAGAGCUUCUCUGCAGAGAUAAAAGGCAGAGAAGUGUCUUGCUGUGCCAUGGCUCCGCAUCGUACUGUGAGAUGCAGACUUCAUUAUCCUUGAAAGUGUGGGGAGCCUCAUGCAAAUGAGCCUGGGGAGACAAGUAUGUCUUUGCCCAUGUCAGAGACAAGUAUCUUGACUUUCAUGUAGUUGAUCAGUUUGGCUCAGGAAGAAAGACAGAUGAGGCCCUGGCUGCCCAGAGUGGCUACACCAACCUCUCUGACCACUGGGGAAACGUAGGCUCCAGGCAUCUCUCCUCAGCUGCUACACCUAUAUACAGCUAUGCAAAUGAUGAGAUUCCAUGAAACUGUCUUCUACCCCGUGGAUAUAAUUUCUUCAUGGAUGUGAGUUUCCUUCCCAUGUGAAGAGAUUUGAACUUAAAAUGUUUACCUUCAUGGAGAAAGAAAAUGCAUUAUUGGAAGAUGUGAGUAGGUUCUUCAUCUAUGACUGUGUUGACACUUGCUCAAAUAUGCCA